rnacentral:rRNA from 1 species
UACAGAGGUCUCAAGCGUUGUUCGGAUUCAUUGGGCGUAAAGGGUGCGUAGGCGGUGGGGCAAGUCAGGUGUGAAAUCCCGGAGCUCAACUCCGGAACUGCACUUGAUACUGCUUUACUAGAGUACUGGAGAGGAGACUGGAAUUUACGGUGUAGCAGUGAAAUGCGUAGAUAUCGGAAGGAAGACCAGUGGCGAAGGCGAGUCUCUGGACAGUUACUGACGCUGAGGCACGAAGGCCAGGGGAGCAAACGGG